AUGUUUAGAUCAGAGCAUAUACAUGGUAUUACCGAUGCAGUAGGUGAUGGGUGUGUGGAUGGCGACGCUGUUGGAAAGAGGACCAUUGUGCCCUCCAGUCACAUGGGUGGUCGUCGUUAUUUUAAUGAGAAUUUCCAUGAUGGCCUUGCUGUUUGUCGGGUGCAUGGUGCACCAGAUGUAUUUACCACUUUCACUUGUAAUCCCAAGUGGCCUGAGAUCACCGCUGCAUUGGAGCCAGGGCAGGCGUCUUCUGAUAGGGCAGACGUUGUUAUUAGGGUCUAUCACAUGAAGCUUGCCGAGUAUUUGGACGAGAUCAAGUCAGGCCGGGCUUUUGGCCCCAUUAAAUCGGUCCUGUAUACUGUUGAGUUCCAGAAGCGUGGGCUGCCACACGCGCAUAUACUUGUCUGGCGGAGAGGGGGCAACGAUGAGAUUGGUGUUGAAAAUAUUAAUUCAUUAAUAUCUGCUGAAAUACCUGAUGCAUUGCUUGAUCCUCUAGGAUAUGCUUUAGUUUCUGAGUUUAUGAUGCACGGUCUGUGUGGUGAAAUGAACGAUAAAUGUGUCUGCAUGAAAAAGGGUGUUUGUUCUAAAUAUUUCCCAAAAGAUUUUAGAGAUACCACUGUCAUUGAUGAUAAUGGGUUUGCCUUAUAUCGAUGUCGUGACGACGGUCGAAGGGUCUAUAAAAAUGGUCAUUACCUUGACAAUAGGCAUGUUGUUCCUUAUAAUAUGGCGAUGCUCAAGAAAUUUCAGGGACAUAUAAAUGUAGAGUGGUGUAACAAGACACAUGUUAUGAAAUAUCUCUUUAAGUAUGUCACCAAAGGUGCUGACUACUCUAAGGUCAUGUUAGAAAGGCUAAAAAAUUUGACUAAAUCUGGUUGCCGUACAGUAGAUGAGGUUCAGGAGUAUCUGAUAUGUCAGUAUAUAUGUGAGUACAAUGCAUUGUGGCGCAUAUUUGGGUUUGAAAUACACUUUAAAAUGCCGUCGGUUCAAAGGCUGACCGUUCAUAUGCCUGGCAUGAAUACUGUUUACUAUCGUGCUGGUGCUGACCUCACGAAAAUUGUUGAUUCCGACUUCUUGCGAAAGACUAUGCUUACCGAAUGGUUUGUUGCGAAUGAGACGUUCGAAGAUGCCCGUUCAUUAACUUAUUGUGAUUUUCCAACUGCUUGGACCUGGGACGCUAAAAGUAGGUCAUGGCAUCCAAGGGGUGGGGGUGAAAAGAUUGGCCGCGUGUAUUAUGUACAUCCUUUGAGUGGUGAGUUGUAUUACUUGCGCAUGCUUUUGAUGAUUGUUAAAGGGGCUAGGUCUUUCGAAGAUCUUCGAACAUAUGCUGGUCGUCUUUAUCACACCUUUAAAGAGGCUUGUGCCGCGCAUGGUUUGUUGGGAGAUGAUAACGAGUGGUACAUAGUGUUUGAUGAAGCAGUUGUUUGGGGGUUUGGGCAUCGACUUAGACAGCUAUUUGUGACUAUGCUCAUGCAUUGUUCUAUCAAGGAUGAGAUGGGUUUCUUUGAACGUUACUGCGCUAGCAUGUACGAUGAUAUCGAGCAUGGGUUCCGUCGUGCCCUGGGUAAUCCAAACUAUGUUGUUCCUCCUGAAAGAUUGAGAAAUAUGCUUCUUGACGAGUUGGCCGACGUUUUCUUGAAACAUGGUUCUGAUAUAAGAAGUUUUAACUUGCCGUCUCGCUCUGGCGAAGGUGAGCAGUCUGAUGAUAAUCGUCUAAUUCGUGAGGAACUGUCUUAUGAUGCAUGUGCUCUGUCUAAACAGUCCUUGGUUAUGUUUGAUAGUUUAAAUGAGGACCAAUUGGUUGCUUAUAAGACGAUUGUAGAGUGUGUGUAG
rnacentral:rRNA from 1 species